AAGUCAUUGUGGGGGAAUUCCUCAACAAGCCUUUAUAUCUCUCCCACGCCUCAUAUAGUGACUCGCCCAGCUGUUGCUCAAAGUUAGAAAUGGCUUUCUGCAAUU